rnacentral:rRNA from 1 species
GACGUAGGGCGCGAGCGUUGUCCGGAUUUAUUGGGCGUAAAGAGCUCGUAGGCGGUCUGUCGCGUCGUGCUGUGAAAUCCCGGGGCUCAACCCCGGGCUUGCAGUGGAUACGGGCAGACUGGAGUUCGGUAGGGGAGACUGGAAUUCCUGGUGUAGCGGUGAAAUGCGCAGAUAUCAGGAGGAACACCGGUGGCGAAGGCGGGUCUCUGGGCCGAUACUGACGCUGAGGAGCGAAAGCGUGGGGAGCGAACAGG